UGGGUGGGUGGGUGUGCCUCGAGGGUCUCCGCUUCGGGCCUGGUGCCCCUGCCCGGCCCGUGACCAGUGCCAGCGGCCCGUGACCAAUGCCAGCGGGAGGCCCAGGGAAACAACUUCCAGGUGGUGACUCCUGGGCCCGGCAGCGUGGCCGGCCACCACGGCCCCCAGCCUCGGCGGUGCCACGAGGGACAGGCGUGUCCUGCAGUCAGUGUCCAGCUGCCGGGGGAGGGGUGAGUGAGACCGGCUGGGGCAGGACCAGCGGGGGGACCCGAGUGGCAGAAAUCCCCUGCCUUGGCCCGCUGGAGAGAGGCGGGGGCCGCGCUCGUCUCCCCCAUGGGAGGCCAGCCGGUGUCUGAUAUUGCAAACAGGACUCGGCUCCCUGGGGUUGCGGGGAGCUGACCUUCGUUGACCUACUAAGUGCUAGGCCCAGGGCUGAGUACUUCUUUUUGUUUUAAUUUUUUCUUUAUUUUUUUGGCCACACCACGUGGCAUGCAGUAUCUUAGUUCCCCGACCAGGGAUCGAAUCUGCGCCCCCUGCAGUGGAAGCGCGGAGUCCCAACCACUGGACCGCCAGGGAGGUCCUCAGGGCCGGGUACUGUAAUCAUCUCUUUUUAAACAUCCAUUUUUAAAUUUAAUCUGCCCAAUUCCAUUUUGUUUCAACAUCCACUCAGAGCCAGCACGUGCCAGCGCUGUUCUGGUGGCGGAAUAGGGCACAGACAAGACUCCCGUGUGGAAGGCGGGUGUGAACGGUUCUCUCUCUGAGAAAACCAAGGCUCAGAGAGGCCAAGGAAUGUCGCCAGCGUCACACAGCUAGCGGGUGACAGAGCCUGCACCCAAACCCAGGUCCGUGACUGCAAGACCCACACUCUCCCUGCCCCGGCCAGGGAACAGCGCGCACAGGAUCCCUCUCACAAAUGCUGACCUCGGCGCGUUCUCCCCACAAAGCCAUCACCAGGAGCACCUGCCCUCUGGCGUGGAGUUCUGCCCCAAGGGAGAGCCAGGAUUUGCCUCCGUCCCUCCCCUCCUGAGGAGCCAUAGACUGUGGUGGUUCUGGGGGCCCCCAGGACCCGUCUCUGCCUGGGUUGCUGUUUCUCUAGGGUCUCAGGCCUGCCGGUUGGGCUGACGAAGCCCCCUAGCGCCCUCCAGGCCUCUGUGCUCAGAGUGCUGGCCGGGCGUGGACAGCACGCAGUGUGGCAGCAGGCGAUGGGAAGGAGGGAGCCGCGGGUCAUCCUUCCUCUCAGUGUUCCUAUGGCCCAGGGUGGGAAAGCGUACGAGGUUGUAGGCCCAGGUGACGUCGGAAGCUCUACAGAGGGUUUAACACUCAGACACCAGGAGUCAAACCUUCGGGAGAUGCUGUAGAAACCCGAAACAGGCAAGACCAUUUUGCAGGCUUGAGCAUUCUCAAAACGGUCCUUUCUGCUCUGUGCCAAAUCCAGACCCUUCCGUUGUACGGGGAGCCUGCUGUGUAGACCAGGAACCCAGGGGUUUUCUCAGGUUUUUCUCCUGGGGGCUUGUUGCAGGCACCAUUCAGCGUCUGAAGGACCCUGACCUCUCUCCCGUGGAGACACACUCAACUUAUCUUGGGGUCCGUGGACUGGCCGGGAGUUGGGUGUCAUCGGCACCUGGUGAGGUCUGCUCCAUGGCCGCGUCCCAGGGUGAGGGGGCUCCCACAGGUAAGGGCAGAACAGGGGUGUCGGGGUGCCGUGUGCAGGGCAGGAUAAGCUCUUGUGAAAGCAGCUUUCUGCCGGUGAACAGGCGCCCCAUCAUGUGUUAGAGACCCCGCCGUCGGUCCCCGUCUGCCCGGCCCCCUGUGUGGUACUCUGUCCCUGAUCCUGCAGCUUCCUUGCAUUACCAUGUGGGUGGCCCAGCGCCCACGUGAUUCUCCAGGGCACCCCUCAGAGAGGUUAGGGAGCCAGCUCUGGGCGGCCCCGGCUUGGGGUGCGGGAGGGGACUGGCGGCACUGUCCAGGGACCAGAGGGGGCAGACCUUGUGGGGCGCCGGGCCCCCAGCUGGAGGGCUAGAGCCGUGAGGGCUAGGGUCUGUCCCCAGCUCCCAGGCAGGGAGGCCAUCACUCGGCAAACAUGGGCGCCCUCCAGGAGGCCCAGGCCCAGGCCGAGAUGGUGCGGGUGGGGAACAGACAGUUAGUCUGGAGCGGCCAGUGCGAGUGCCCGAGGAAUCCGGGAGGCCCCCUGGAGGUGGCAGACCCGCGGCCCCAGGCUUGUUAGCGAAUCCAGCCCCGGGCCUGCCACGUCCCAGGGCCGUGCUGCCAGGCGCCGCCCCUCCCACCGCCCCACGCCAGCCCUGCACAGGCCACAUCUGCUGCCGCAGCCCUGCCAGGGCUCCGCCUCCAUCCCCAUGGAAACCACGGGGGCUGGGGGUCCUGCUGCAUUUGGCCCGCUGACUGGUUUCCAUUAGAGGCAGCCUGCUUUCCUUGAGACUUGCCCCUGAAGUUCAGGGCUCCUCCCAGGGGUUUCUUCCUGCGUUUACUGAGCGCCGGCCUCUCCUGUGCCAGGGCACCCAGUGGUCUAGGCCUGCCCAUCCUGGCUGACAUCCCUCAGUGGGGUGAGUGCCCAGAGUCCCACCCAGGGCCGUGGCUGCUCUUGAUCUUAACAGGCUGCAGGCUCAGACCUCGUCUCUCCUCACCCAGGACCACUGGCUGCUGAGGCACGGACGCUGCACCUGAGUCAGGGGCCCCGGUCUCCCGUCCCAGCUGUGCCAUAGAGUCACUAGGGGACCUUGAAUGGGCCCCUCCCCCUCUCCGGGCCUCAGUUUACCCCUCUGUAAAAUGAGAGGGUUGAAGUGUUUCUCCAGUUCCUUGCAACGCCACAAAAGGAGAAAGAAAGUGAAGCUGCAGCAACGCCAGCUCUUCUAGAGUCUCAGUUCUGGGAUUUUUGUUUUCAAAGACGGAUUUUUUUUUUUUUCUUAAAGGAAGGAGCCAUGGAAUUUGACCGGAGAUCAAAUUUGAGAGGCCAACAGCCAGCCAGAUCCCGCGGACCCACGGUGGGGAAGGCCGGGCUCGGCUGUGGGCGGCUGUGCCUGCCAGGCUCCGCUUGACAUGUCGGGUGCCCAGUGACCUGGCUGUGAAUGCAGUGAGCAGAGGCAUGCACCGUGCCCCCGACGGAAUCCAGAGGGCUCUGGAAAACUACCCGAGAGGUUUCCGGAGGUCAGAAAUGUGGGCAGAAAAUGAGAUCCAGCUUUUAAAAAAAAACAAAAAAACCCAGUUGGCUCAUCCUCCAGGGAGAUCGGGGGCCUGUGAGAGACAUGGGGGAACGCCGAUGCUCGGUUAUCUUUGAAGAGCUCGCCCAGGGCUGAUCCGUGGCAGGUGCCGCAGACCCAGCCCGACGCCCUGGUGGAGGUGCCGUCUUCCCCCACUCCUCCUUUCACGGGAGAUGACGGGUGACGCUAGGGGACAUUUUUGCCCAACCUGCCCAGUGGGUGCUUUGGCUCCUCCCAUGAGAACCCUCAGCUCCCACUUGCUUAUCGUGAAAUGUCACAGAUAUCGUGGGGGCUGGCUUCUGCUUGGUCCCUGCCACUGCUGUACUGGGGACACUUUGCAGCUUAUGACAAGGAGCAGAAGCUCAGGGGCGACAGGCCUUCAUAGCAGCAGGGAGUGGUUUGCUGGGUGGUUUGGGCAGAUUGCUUUCCUCCCUGGGCCUCCGUUUCCUCAGCUGUAAAACGGGGGUAGUGACACUGACCUGCCGGGUUAGUGUGGAAAUUAGGUGAGACUUGGGGUCAAGGCUGGAGACGUGGUAAGUGAUGGCGUCAGACUGUGCCCACCCCACAUCCCCAUCGUGAGUGAAGCAGGCAGCGCAUCCCAGGGUGCCGCAGACCCACGGCGGGGCUGACCCUCACCCGGCCCGUCUCCAGGGAAAUUGGGGACAGGCUGCCAUUUCUCAAGGUCACCUGGAACCCGCUGCUGGAAGGCCCUGGGUAGCCAGCACGAUGGAUGGUGCUUCCUCUUCCUCAUCUGAGCCCAGGGAGCACAAGCCUCCCUGCCGGAGGCCGCCUGGGUUUGCUGGCAGGUUGUGGUGGCAGGAGAAGCGGCCGACGGGCCCUGGGGACAUUGUCAUUGCAGCUCAAAGGGUAGGCUGGUAGCAUCUUCCGUUUUCUGUCCUGGGCAGGAAUGGAACUUUGGUCUGAAUGACGGCGCCCCGGGAGCCACUGCCUCAGUGCACCCCAGCCCGGCCUCCCCAGUAAAGUAGGCCGAGGGUGUGAGCUCGGAGCAGCAGCCUGCUGCACUGGCUGACGUUGAUUUAGACACGGGGAGACUGGGAUAAUGUAGGAAAUGAUGGAAGUUUCUCCAGGGAAAGAAGGAAGAGAAGCUUAAGUGCCCAGAUAAUUAUAAAGCCUGGCGUGGUGAUUUAUGGCGGGCAGGCGGGCUCCCCUGGCCGGCAGCACUGCCCCCUCCCGUCUCAGCCCCUUGUGCCCAGAGACCAGCAGGUGCCAUCCAGCACCCAAGUUUGGCCGUGUGUCGCAGGGAUGGAGCCCCUUGGUGUGCUGGGCCCCGACGUCGGCUAUCGGGGUGAUGUCAUGGAACUCUGACGUGCCCCCGACCUGGAAAGCUGAGGUCUGGGAGGCUGAGCCCCUCACGCAGCUCUAAAUGGUGGCGCCCGAGCCAGGCUAGCCAGUGUCCUAAACCCCAGAACCUUCCCUCUGCCCACAGCUGCAUUUGGGGCCUCGGGCGGGCAGGGCCUGGGAGGCGGCCCAUUAGAAAGGUGACAGGUCAGAGCAGGGUGGCAGCUAUCACUGCUGGUGCCACAGGAGGGGGACAGCCAAGACCACAGAGUUGGGCAGAAGUAAGAAGGUGUGUUUUCUGGCUUGGAUCUGGGGCUGCCCUGUAACUAGACGUGAGACUCCAGGCAGGCUGCCUGGACAGUGCACCAUUUGGGGCCUGACCUUGGGUGGCUUCCGCUGGGGACUUUCCUCUGCUGUGACCACACCCAUCCCCCCCCUAAAAUUCCCGGGGGAUGUCCCCAACAGCUUCUGACCUGCCCAAUCAUCCUCGACUCCCCUCCCUGCCACACCCAGACCGUCCCGAGUCCUUCCAGUUCUGCUGUCUUUCAGCAUCUCGCCGACGCCCUCCUCCACCCGUUGGACGGUGCCCGUUGUCUUGCCCACCCAGGAAUGUGCCCCGUCUCCCAUCCUGCAGGCUCCCCUCCAGCUCCUGGCUGCAGUCCAGCCUCCCCUUCAUGGGACUCGAGAGGCCCCCAGCAACCUGCCCUCCCCCUUCCACGGCACCAUCCCCCGCCUCUUCAGACUGUGACGCAGCAUCACCUCCUCCUGGAAGCCCUCCCUGCUCUCCACAUGCCCACUGCCCUACAGACCCGUUGCCCUGGGAGACUGGGCGCCUUGAGAAGGACAGGCCAAAAGUACCAGCCCGGCACAGGGCAGGCUCUUGGGGAACAUUUCAUGAAUGAACAAAACAGAAUCCAGAGAUUGAAACAGAAGAAGAGGAGGCUGUGCACCAACUCCCUGAGUUCCGGGCCGCACGUAAGCCAUCAAGUGCGCCACUGCGGCCAGGGGGUCAAGGCGCUUGGAGAAACAAGCGGACAGAGUUUACUUUUCUGCCUUCACCAGAUACAUUCCCUUUUAGGUCAAAUCCGGGGCUUGUGAAACCACACCUUGUCACAAAUGGGUAUGAUGGCGCCGGAUGGACAGGCCCAAGCUCUGCACCCUUGUGGCCGGGAGGGUGGACUGCGGGGGUAACGCGGGGCCAAGGGGAACCACGCUUCUUCCUGGGGGUUCCAGCUGGGAAGACCAGCUGGUAGCGGUGCCCAUGGGGCUUGUGGGCCUCUUCCCCAAAGAUCACUGGGUGUGAAAGGCAGGGGUCCGUCGGCCCAUCAGAUGUCAUCGGUGCGUCUCGGCACAUUCUGUUCCGUUAGAGUAGAUAUUUCCAACUCACAGAUAUUCUGCCGGGUCCUGCCCCUACGUUGUCACAGCUCACAGGGGUCCCCUUCCUCCAGGGGGUGAUGACAAAGUGUGGGGCCCUCUCACCUCCCCGCCCCCGGCAGUGGCUGGUUUCUUCCAGGUCAGCCCUGGGCCUGCAGCCCCUGGGUGGGACCCGCUGCAGCCCUCGUCUUCCCGUCGGUCACCCCCACGGUUUGGUGGUAAACAAGCGUGUUGGUGCCCAGCACCCUCCCAGGGGCCUGGCACCUUUGUCCCGCUAUGGAGGGUCGGGAGCAACAUCCGUUCAGCCCUUUUAAAAGUGUACCUUGGGGAGAUCACUGCUGACCAGCGCGCAGGGGCCUCGGUAGCACCCGCAGCUCUGUCGUCGGCCUGCUGCAAGAUCUUGGGCCAGUCUCUCCCCCGCUGUGAGCCGGUUUCCCCACCUGCCGCACCAUCUCUGACCUCCACCUGUAACGUCGGGUGGGUCUCUGGGAGGUUCGGAGGGGCCAGGUAUGGGGUAGCUGCUUUGGGCGUGUGAGAGUGUUCCUGGGCUUUGAGUUGGGAUCCUCUGCCUUGUGAGGAGGUCACAUGGUGGCAGGUUCUGUGGCCGUUCAGAAGGGCACCCCAGGGUGGAAGUGCUUCCAGAAGAGCAGAGGCCCCUCCAGGAGGGAGCUUUACUAUGUGUUGAGUUUCCACAGAAUGCAAAAAAAGAUUUGUUGCCUCUUUCUCCUUUUUUCAGUUUUCCGGAAUCAUGUUAAUGAGCGUCUAUUCCUUUUGCAACAGAAAAACAAAAUUUGAAUUACAAAACUAACCACCUGGCCAGAGUGAAACUGACCCGCCCAGAUUCUCACUGCAUGUCUUCCCCAAAGGAGAGAUGUUAACUCGGGGCACAGGCGGUCACAGUGAGGGCAGCACCGUCGUCCUGGUGCAUUUUGGCCAUUUAAAAGGAGUAGAGGCCACUUAGGGGGAGGCGGUGCUCUGAUGUGGGGUGCCCCCCCCCCGCCCCACCAAGAGGCGGGAGGCAGAGCCUGUCCUUACGUCUGGACAUCUGGAUGCACGUUAGGGAUGUUCCGAGUCUGAUGCCUGGAAACGAAUCUGUAGGGAAAGCGGACCUCUGUUUUGUCGUCACGCUAGAGCCAGGCCGUUAUUUUGCCGUUCCAGACACCGCCCUCGUCCAUGACAGACCCCAUGUAGCGGAUGUACGUCUGGCAAUGGCUGGCUUUUCCGGAACCGACUUGGCAAUCACCCUGGUGUUGGCGGUUGCCUUUUGUGAGGACCUACUGUGUGUGCCGGCCAAGCUCUUGGGAAUUCCGUGUUCAUUCAUUUGCUCUGAUGUCAGCUUGAGGCGGUAGGUGUAAACGGCCCCUUUUUAAGAUACAAAACUGAGGCUCAGAGAGGCCAGUUUCCUGAAGACCACACAGCCCGGAAGGUUCUCUGUGGCCUGUUCAUGGGCUCCUCCCCAGGGCUAGCAGGUCUGCCACUAGAGGCUCUGUCGACUUGAGCUCACCUGCACCCUGGCCGCACUGCCUGCCCUGGUAGCCGUCGGCUCCCCAAGUCCUUACUGGAGCUGUUUUGGCCCAAGUGAAGUGGCAGAGCUGGGGACCUACACCUGGUGUGUGCAUCUGGCAACUCAGGGAGGCUGGAGGACGUGGACCAGAGGCUCGCUGGCCGACUUCUGACUCCUCCUGACCCAUCUCGGGCCCCUCCGGGGGCUUGGGGGCCCGGCGCAGCAUCGCCCAGGGCCAGGUCCCAGCGCUUCCCACGGCAUCUCUGCACAUACAUUGAGGGGUGGUUUCUGCACGAUUUGUUAGCAGCUGGCAUUUGCAGGGAGAGUGUUUCUCCUACGUGUGACCUCUGAGAGAGGCCAAGUUGAAUGCUGAAGACCAGUGUGGACAAGGCAGGACUGAGCCCUCUGGGGGUGCGGGUGGGCUGUGUGCCGUGGGCCUGGGCCCUGAAGCUCGGCUGAUACCAGGGUUCCUGCUGGCGGCUCAGAGCCUCCUGCCCGAGGCCCGCGCUCAGGUGUGUCCACGCAGGCCUCAGCCCUGGCAAGUUGGCCAGCUGUCAGACAAGAGGCUGGGAGAAAUGUCUCCAGGCACCAGAGUGCAAUGACUUGUCUUACGUCCUCGAAGUGCCCUGGGGGGUGGUUGGCAGUGGACGCGACCAUCCGCUGAGCCCCACUGUGCGUGGGCACAGCACGUGCGUCGCCUCUCAUGACGCGUGUGAAUCUGAGGGGUGGCCUCACUGUCCCUUUAUUACAGAUGAGGAGACUGAGACUCAGAGACGUGAAAGGGCUUGUCCAGGGUCACGGGACAGAGCUGAGAUGGGAACCCAGCGGUCUUCAGCCACGCUGUAGAUGGACGCAGGAAUGUUCCGCAGGGCAGGGGCAAGGAGGGGCCGGGGUGAGGUGGGGGUCAGCCUCCGGGGCAUCCUGCUGGGCCCGGUGCUGCUGCCAACAGACUCUGCCAACCUCCCUGGGCCAGAAGCUUCCAGAGGACAGAACCGCCUCUGGUCAAAGAGCCACCAGAUGGCCUGGGCCAGCGCUGCCAUCCAGGUGGCCACAUCAUGGGGCACGGGCUGUGAGCAGUGCCGGCACCCGGGUGAUUCUGGGGCUGGGAGAAGGGAGCAUUGUUAUGAGCCAGCCUUGGGUCUGGGACUUUUACUCUUGUCACCUGUAAUGUCACAGCCCUACGAGGUGGACAGGCUGUCCCACAUCACAGGGUAGGAAACUGGGCCAGAGAGGGCAAUCCUGUGCCUGGAGCCACACAGCAAACAGAGGCAGCAGGUGUGGCUGACUCCCCCUCGCUCCCACUCCCCCACAACCUGCCUCAUAGAUUCUGGAAUAUGGGAGGCUGCCGUUCGGGGUUCACUAGUGACCCUGAGACAGGCUGAGGCCCCUGGCCACCCAGCACACGAUGUGGGCCGGCCCAUCGAGAGAGGGCAGGCUUAGGAGGCUCAAGCCGCCCCUCGGGGGCGCGAUGCACUCCCAGGAGAGCUUCAGAGGCUCCGAGGGCAGGUGACGCGCCAUGUCCGACCGGAGCACGCAGGCAUGGGGAGCAGGCCGAGGGCGCUGGUGUUGCCAGGUGCCUCUUUGUGCCAGGUGCCGGACCAGGGAGCCCAGAGGGCACUCAGCCUGGUGGUUCCGUGGUUGCUGUUGGGCACGUGGGUGAAAGGAUCCGGGGGCACUGAGUGUCCCGGAGAGAGGGCAUCCUGUAAACGCUGCCGUGGGGUCAGACGUGGGGGAUGCUCCCUGGCCCCAGCACGGUCCCGUGGCCGGCUGUCCCAGUGAGUUUUCUAGCCAUGGCCACGUGUGGCUCCUGUGACUUUCAGGUAUCCAGCCAGGGCCCCAGAGCCGCCCCUGCCCCUGCAGCAGGAGCUCCACUCACCCAUCAGGAUAGAAACCCUGUCCCCGCCGGGUGUGUGCAGCGGGCGUGGGGCAGCCUGCGGAGCAGCCGGCAUCCACCUCCCCUUGCUCUCCUCUGCUGAGCGUGGCCUUCUGCUGUUUCCCGUCCCGCAGCUCCUGUGCCCUGGAAGCCUGAUUUCUGACGCCAGCGUCAGCUAGAGGAAUAUCGACCUAGGCUAUCUGCAAAAGGGGGGCCUCAGCGGCUGGGCCUGUGGGGUUCAGCGUGCCGCCCACAGUAGUGUCCCUCUUGAGCGCCAGCUGGGCUGUGCUCGCCGUCCAGAGGGAAGAGAGGGGGUGGGAGUGCCGUCGGCUCCCCCGUGCUGUUGGAGGGUCCCUGGUCUGUGGUCUCUCCUGGGUGGGCCCCAGAGCUGUUGCCCCAUCGCCCAGGUGAGGUCACUGGAGCUACCCCAGCCCAGGUGCCGCCCCGGAGGGGCCGUCAGAGGGAUCCUCACCGGGCAGCGGGGAUUUGUUCAGCCCAUUGCACUGUCGGGAGAGACAGGGAGGGAGUCCAGCCGUCCAGGCAGGGCUGCGCGGCCUCAAGGCCAUCCUUUCUUAAUGGGGUGGCGGGGGGGGGGUAGGUGCUCCCCACAACGUAACAAGAUGGUGACGUGCUCACCAGAAGCCCGUGCAGGCUCCGUGCGGUGGUGGCAGCCAGGCCUGGGCUGACCUCCUGGCCCCUAGCUUCUCUCGGAACCUGCACAACGCUCUGGGCCGCAGACCUGGUGGUCCCCGUACUAUAGUCGGGGAACCUGAGGCCGCGAGAGGCGCUGGGCAGCGUGUAUGGGGGAGGCACCCAGAGCUGCGUGACUCGUGGUCCUGAGGCCAUGCCACGUGUAGACAGGGUGCAGUGGGCUUCCAGGUUCCCGUCUCCGUUUCCAGAAGGUGGGGUCUUGCUGCCAGCUCGACCCAGCGUCUGGGGCGGGGGGCUCGAGCACAUCCUUGGGAAGCCGCCAGCAGGUCCCCUCUAGCCUCUGAGCACCUGACGAGUCCCACGCGUGUCCCAGAGGCCCUGCUGCCGAGGAGGGCGCUGAGCCGCCUGGCGGUACCUGAAGAGACUCAGCCCGACGGCUCCCUGCCCGGCGCCCGCGCAGCUCUCACCCGUCCGCAGGGAGCUCAGCCCUGGUCCCCAGGUGACAGGGGCGCGCUCCUGAGAGGACCGGCGUCUGUGGGAGCCGCACACCUGCGCCUGGGCGCAGGCAGGAGAGCUUGGGGUCACCAGCACGCUCCCGGGGCCUUGGCGCCCGGACCCACCUUCCUCCCGGCCACCCCGUCACACGGGGCCUGGGGCAGAGGCCUGAGAAAGGAGCGGGGCCUGGGUAGCUGCCCUGACUUUCCUGUGAGUCCAGCCGAGGCCCAGCAGAAUUCCUGGUCAUGGAGGCUCAGACCUCCGUCUGGAUUUGCUGUUUUGUUGUCACCGAUGACGAGCCAUCCCUGCUUUGGGAGAGCCUGUGCGCCUUCGGUGGCCGGAGCCCGGGGCAGGGCUUCUGGGCCUGUGCUUAGCCUUCGGGGCCUUGUGCACGGUUGCUCGGUCCUAGGGUAAGCCCUCACUGGCUCAUUCGGGAAAGACCCAGAGUCACGUCUGCACUUUCUGUUCCUAGGUAUUGGGCAUUGUUCGACGAGCGAAUGGGGACGUUUCCAUGCCUCCUGGGUGCCGGGCACCGUGCUAGCCCUGAGGGUCACACCGCUGCCUAAGAGGUGGCCCCUGCCGCGGAGCUACCUGCCUGUGGGGAGACGGAGCGCGAGCGUCCAUGAGCUGAUUUCAAGGGACCCCCAGCCUACCGCUAGAGCUGACCUAUGGCUCCUGGUCCAGGAGGCCCCCCUGGGGGGGUGACCUAAAGGAUGGAACAUGGCUGGUCCCAGAGCACCCCCGAGAAAGUGCACACCUGUCGUGGCCUUCAAAAGACGCUCCAGGACCACACGGCCAGGUGGAUGGUGUUUGCCCUGCGUCUGGGUGGUGAGGCAGCCCAGGAGGUGAGCAGCCUGGCCAGGAGGGGAACAUGGACCCGGUCUUGGGAGACCCCAGCACCAGCCCCUUCCUCGCAGGCCCCAACCUGCAGCCGGCCGGGCCCACCCUGCCCAGAGUUCCCUAGGGCCGGGCUCGGCCUGGCCCCCGGCAGGUGGAAGAGAUCCCACUCCGCCACCAGAAGCGAGGGAGUAGAGCAAAGGAUUCCCUGUCCACUCUGGUCCCGCCAAGCCCCGCACCUGCCCUGUGGCCCGAUUACGGCGCUGGCCGGCUGGCCUCCUGGAUGCAGAUGGAAUCAGGGAGGCCCCACCCAGUUCAUUGGCACAGAGACUCCCCUGAACCAGCUCUGUGCUGUCAGCGCCCACGGCCCCCAGCCCACCUCUGACAAGCUGUCCAGCUGGGUGGGCUUCUUUGGUGCCCUGAGCCUCGGUUUACCCGUCUGUAAGACUUAGGCAGGAAUACCUCCUAGCAGAGUUUGGGGGUGCACAGCCUAGAACACCCGUGGCUUCGGUGAGGGCCUGGGGGUGGGACACAGCCUUUGCCCCUGAGAAGCAGCAGGGGUUUAUAACCCACCGAAAGACAGAAAACUCCCCAACGUGGCGCUCUCCUGGCCUCCUCUUCCUUCGCCGGAGCUCAGCAGGGCCCGGCCUCAUCUAUUCCUUACUUUGGGUUUAUUGUGCUGGGUGCUGAGUGAGAGGAAGGGGUGGGUCGAGGCAAAGCCAGCUCCUGCCCCAUGCAGCAUGGGGACUUGCGGCAGCCUCUGCUCCAAGUGGCCAGGGGGCUUUGUUAGCAGCAUCUCUGAGGCAGCCAGGAGGGUUUCAGUGGCCCAGGAACCCAGGCCUGCUGUGGCCACGUGGCUUCGGGUCAAUUUCACAGGCUUGGGGAGGGCGUGGAGGUGGCCCUGUUAGCAAGGACGCUGACAGAGGUGGCUGAGUAGGGAGAGGCGACCGCUCUGAGGCCUCAGGAUCUUAGCAGCUCUACGGGUGGUCGUGGGUCUGUUUGCACAUCACCAGGACAGGGUGCCCACCUGCCGGGGGGUAUUCCAGACCCCCGAGGUUCUCUGUCAGUGUUACGAAGCGUCUCCUGGGACAGCAUCUGAGGGCUCAUGGGAAUGACCACACUGUAGCAGAAGACUGAGCCACAGCCUAGGGUCAGACUGCCGGGCCCCAGCCUCACCCCACCUUCCCUGCCGUGUGAUCGUAGGGAAGCCAUGGCCCCUGCCUGGGGUUCUGUUUUCUCAUUUGCAAAAAGGGUGUCCCUACUUCUCCCUGCCUCCUUACCAGACACCAAAAGCAGAAGGGGAUGCCAAACCUGGCUGAGAAGCGGGGGUCUGGCUCGGGGCCAGUACAGCCCACCACUUGCAGAGAUGAAGCCUGCUACGCACACGGCCCUCACCAGUCGUAUAGGCAGGGAGGGGACUAAGGCGUUAUUUGUUUUCUUUUUUGUUUAUGUCAUGCCACAUUAGAAAUAUAUAUGUGAAGCGGCUUAGAGCAACGUUGACAAUGCAGAAGGGUAAAAAUAAACAGCCGAGGAAAUUGGGGCAAAGGGAAAACCGCAGGUAGGCCUAGAGAAUCCGUGUCAUGUAGGCACCUCCCAGUUCUGUCAGUUCAGCUCUGAGCUUCCUAGCAGCCAAAGCAAAGAGGGAAAGACUGUCCCUUGCAGGAAGUGCUGUUUAGGGAGUCCUGUCUCAGCACAGUGAUGCUGAGAGAGAGCUGCCUGGUGCAGACACUCAGGGUUACCCCAGAGGCCCCAGUGAGGCCGGGCAGAAAGAGAGGGAGGGAACUCCCUCAUGCUCAGCACAGCUGCACCCCUCCAUCAGCCUGAGCAUCUCACACCUUGUUUCGUUUAGUUCUCCCAAACCCUAGAAACCUAGGUUGAGAGAGCGGCAGUGAGGACCCCCAGCCCUCUCUGAGCCUGACUUUGACCUUGUGUCUCUCCAUCCCCCAGAUCUACAUUCUUGCAGCCACACCUGCUGCCCCUUGGAGAAGGUGACCCCAGAAAACCAGGGUGUUUCAGCCCCAGUGUUUUGGGCACAAAGUCACAUUGAUGCAAUGGUCUCCUGGCCGGUAACGUCCCCCUGCGAGGCUCUGAGUGACCCCUGAGCUGUGCUGGGCCUCGUGGAGUCUUAGGGCAGGGUGGGCCAGAGCCAGCAGGGUACAGAUGCAGGGCGUGCACCCCGCACAUACCCGGGGGCUGCUUCCCAAGACUUACCCAGCACCUCUCUCUGCUCCCAGGUCUCACCCCUUCUUCCCGGCACCCUGGUCCCUGGCUGACAUCUGGAGCUUGGACGACCGUGCCACCCUCAGGUCAGCGCAGCGUUUCGGAUGUUGAAAACCAGAGCUCCCCACCCCCUCCCUCCAGACGCCACCCUGGGCUGGGCAUGCCUGAAAGGACACACGCACGUGUGUCUCACACGCAUGUGCGCACACGCCCACACGGCCUCUGGAGGAUCGCUGGGUGGGUACUUCUCGCACAUUUGCUCAGGCUCAGCUGCGGGCGCUCCCCCCGCGGCUCUGCCCUCCCACCAGCCUCUUUCUGCGGUCAAAGGACCAGGGUCAGUAAGGAGUCAGGGGCUCGCCCAGGUCUCACCCCAGGAAGCUGGACCCGUGACGUCUUCCCGGCUCCCCCUGCACAUAAGUUGAACGGAGCCCCCUUUGCAAGGAGGCAGCCAUCACAGGGCUCCGUGGUGGGAGGGCUUGGGCCAAGCGCUGGGGACCAGUGACUACCGGGCAGAGCUCAGGAGCUCGGCAGGUGAGGAGGUCCCAGCCUGCCCCUCCGCCUCGUGCCCUGAUGGGGCUGCGGUGCUCAGAGUCUGCUGGGCCCCCCGCCCCCAAGCGCCAGCCUGCCGUGCAGACUGUCAGGCCCACUUGGCUGCUUGCAGCCUCCUGGGGAGUCUGUGGGGCCGUGAGGGUCGGGGCCAGACUGGCGGCGUCUCCCUCCCCCCUGUUGCCAUGGCCAGGGGCAGACCUGCCUCCCAGGGCUGUGUGGAGAGGACCCGGGACCCCUCUGCCAUCUGGGUCUCAUGUGUUUACAGGUCCAGCUUGCCCGCCAGACUCGGCAGACACCGCCCCAGGGCUUUUGUGUCUGCACGCAGGGCAUGCGCCAGCCGGUGCCCGAGGGUGGGGUGGGACGCGGGUAGGGAGGGGGGAGGUCCCCCCGGGGACAUCAGGGACAGAGGGGAAAGGGGGACAUGAAGGGGUAUAGCAUGGGAAAGGAAGAACAGAGCAGAGGCAGAGAGCAGGGCUGGGCACAGGGAGAAAGGAGACCCAGCAGAGACUGACCGCGCGGCUGUGUCUGGGAAGACAGGGCCUUCCGGGCUUUGCUCAAGGCCGUCUAGCGCAGGUGCUUUUCUCGGCACCCGCCGGGAGAUCCCCUCAACGUCCCACGGGCAGCGGCAGCCUCCUGGGUCCAGAUGAAACGUAGGCACUGAGAGGUGCAUCCCUCACACAGGCUCGGGCACCCGAGUGUGAACCGGGGACCGAGCCCCAGGCCCUGACGGACACACGCAGGAGGGCACGUCCCCAGGAGUGGGGAGGGGCUCCCGGGCCAGGGCGCUGGUGGCUGUGUGAAGUGGCCGAGGUCCAGGACAUACCGUGCGACGGAUGGGAGAUGGGGCCGGUGCGCACAGUUGGGGCUCACUCAGUGCUCGUCCAGCGCCUGAGGAACCACCAGGACGACCACACAGCCCGGUCACCACGAGGACGAGCGCGUGCCCAGGGCUGGCGGGGAGGGCUGCCCCCUCCAUGUGUGCACACCCUCCUCGUUCCGCCUGGGACCAUCCUGUGCACCCAGAAAUGGGAGCUCGGGGGCUGGGAGCAGCCCAGCUCCGGCCUCAUCUGGGGUUCUGGAGGUUCUUUGGGGGCCAGGCGAGCCCUUUGGGCUGCUGGCUUGGGCUGGGGGAGCAGUGAAGGGUUAGGGGGACAGUGACUCACUUGGCGGGGGUUGUUUUUGCACCGACUCGUAAUUGUUCUCCUGUGAGUCUGCCCGGACUCGGCCCAGCACGGGAGAGGUCUGGGCCUGGGCGGCGCCCCAGCCUCUUUCCCUGCCCCGGUGCCCUGGUGCCUCACCCACUUUGGGCAGCAGACGGGAGCCACGUGUGCCCAGUCAGCAACCCGUGCUGGCCAGUUUUCUGAAGGGAAUUGUCCCUGUCCUCCCUGACGCCCUGGGUUCCUGGGAUAGAGGCUACCCCGUUCGUUCUUUAGGAGUUGGCGCGAAUGUGGGUUCACGGGAAAUCAAGGCUUGGGCGGUGGGCCCCCAUCGCCCCAUGGCAGAGCCACGUUCAGAAGCUGUAUCUGCUGGGCCUAAUACGGCCCCGUGUGUAGGGCCAGAGCCUGGAGAAGGGGCCCCACAGCGAUGCCAAGACGUGACCCCCAUCUGCUCUGCAGAUGCACACGUGGUACCUAAUCUUUUCACCCGUGGACAAAGGGGGCCUCCAAGCCUAAGGGGCAGGAGUUUGUUCUAACAUCAAACAUCCAAGUGUCCUUUAUUUAACCAGACAGAAAAAUUAAGGCCCUAAAUACCUGGCACUUGGUCUUUUUUGUUCCCGGUGAAGACACUGACAAAACGCAGAAGGCCGGCUUCCGCUCAGGUCUUAGCUGUUGGCGCUGAGCAGUGCUCUCUGGCUGGGUGCAGUGGACCCCGGACGGGAGGAGGACAGGGGCAGGGAUGCCCACCCUGAAAGCCACACCUGGACCAGGUGACUUGGAUUUGUUGGCUCUUGUGAAGCACUUUCUGUCCUGUGGGCCGGGCCCCGAGCCCACGCUCUUCCCGCACAGGUCAGUCUUCACGACAGCCCUGCCAACGGGCAUCUUUCAGUGCCACUUUCCUAUGGGGGCUGAGGCUCAGGGAGGUCAAGGGCCAGCCCCGGGCCACUGAGCCAGGAGCGAGCUCCCCAGCAGGGGAGGUGGAAACACCUCCGGGCUCUGGGAAUGCGUGGCGUCCCCGAGGUGUCGGGGCUGCCACACAUCCUGAGAGGCCGUUUUCCUGGGGGGCAGGCUGAGCGGGGGCUGGGGGAGGGCUGGGAUGGCCCCUGGCGUGGACUAGAGGGUUUAUAAGGGGUCUCCCUGCUGGAGUGAAGCCAAGAGGCCCUCAGACCCAGCGACGCCGGGGCUGCUGCCCGUGCAGCCCGGGUUUCCUGCCCCGGCCUGAGCUCAGCUGGGUACUUGCCUUCAGACGUUUCCCCUGUCAGAGGCCUUGUUCCCCCGAAGCUCAGCUGUGUCCAGCCCUGGCUGGGGAAAGAGCAGGCUCCCACUCUGUCCCCCGGGCCCGGCUCUGAGCUGCCCUUCUCCAAGAACACGGUGGCCGCUCAGCCUGGCUGGCCUGGGAGAACUGGGGAGCCAGAAGGCCCUUGGCCGUUCACCCUGAGGAAGGGAAAUUGAGUGUCUCAGGUGGGGGCUCCCUGGGGUUACCCAGGACAGGGGGCUCUGCUCUCUCCUGGUAGCUCCGUGACCUCAGGCAGGUAGGUGGAGACGUCUCUGGGUCUUCGUUCCCUCAUUCCUGUAACGCCAGGCAGGCGGACGAUGGCUGUGCUGGCGGUGUGACUGUGGGGAAAUAACUUAGCCUCUCUGUGUUCAUCCCCUCACCCCCAGAUCAGGUUGUAACGAGGACUGACGGAGCUACCCAGUGCGAUGGGCUUGGGUCAGUGCGUGGAGCGUUCCGGGGGACAGGGUGUUUGCCCUUCCCCGGUUUCCGACGGGGAGUGUGUGCCCCAGGAAGUGCUACUAUGUGUAUUUGCAGCAGUAUCGGGCCAACAGGGAUUCGAACCCCGAGCCCUGUGGCUGGGAUGCUCGCUCUUCCCCACUGAGCUCCCCACCCCCGUGGGGCAGCCCGCAAGGAGCAGCCACUCCUGGGAGAGGUCUUCGGUGAGGACGGUUGUUUGGUUCAUGCCUGGGGAGUUUUCAGUACAGCUGUGGUCACACAAGCGAGGGGGACAGUGGCUCCAGCGCUCCGUGCCACGCUGAGUCACCAAGGCUCCCCCACCCUAAUUCCACUGUCUUGUUCCUUGACCCAGGCCCCGCACCGGCUCCUGACCUGCCCGUCUCCGUCAGAGCGCAAGGCCCAGCUGUGCCCCGCGGUCAAGAAGUGGCACUGAGAUGGGAGCUUCUAUCCGAGGCCAGCCUUACUCAAUGGUGAGCCGAACGUUAGGGCGGGGCCGUCCCCGCUCGCGGGGGCACCUCACGGCUGUCCCACUCUUCCCAGCCCAGCCAGAGCCCACAGGAGGCCUCGCCCUGGGCCCUCGUGCAGGAGACAGGCCCACCCCUGGCCUCGGUGUGGGUGCACGGCCACUCCUGCUGAAUGCCCAGAGGACUGUCACAGGACACAGGACAGCACAGGUGACAUCUGCGCUGCACACCCUUCCCACCAUCCUUUCUCUGGGAAGUAGGGAGUCAUGGGGGAGCUUGUAGUGGGGAGGGAUGUGGUCAGAGCUGUGUCCCACGAUGCACUUGUGACCUCAGGCUGGACGUGGCCUGAAGGAGCCGUAGUCUGCUGCAGGGUGUCUGCAUGGAAGAGGAACGCGGACCCCGCCUCCCUGUGCACUGCGAGGGCCCGUCGCCCCCUUUUCUCCAGCCCUCCGCUGUGAUCCUAAUACACAGGCUGCUGAUAUCGACCUGAGACGCACACGGGUGAGUCUGGCCUGGAACAGAAAGGCUGAAUGAGGGGAACCAGUCACAUCUGCUUCUCCCAGGCUGGGCUGGGGGUCGGGGUGCUUGUGUUGACAGCCAGGGAGGACCGGGUGUGUGUGUGUGUGUGUGUGUGUGUGUGUGUGUGUGUGUGUGUGUGCCAGUCAGUCUCCCCCCUCUCUUUCCCUGCCUCUCCCUACCCCGUGGAGCCCAGCCCGGGGCUGGGCUGGGUCCCUCGUGGAGUCAGCACUGCGGGCUCUGGAGCUGAAGCCCCGGCCCAGGGGAGGGCAGGCGCGUCUGAGUAGUGGCACACGCGUGGGUUCCAGCCCAGUGUUAACUACUGGCGGCCUGGCAGCCACUCGGAUCCCCUGGGAGCAGUUGCUGCAGGGACCCCGCCUCUCAGUGACGAGGUCCAGGCCCACGAGGGCAGAAGAGACGUCGGAGAAGCACGGCGGGGAGGCCGGCCCGGCUUCGCAGCCAGCUCCACUUGCUGGGCUGUCCUGCCCCGUGCCGCCCUCAGCCUGCUAGGGCCAGCGGUCGGAGCCAGGUGGCCCCUGCAGCCUGAGGCCGUUGGGGGUCUCGGGGGCUAAGUUGGGAGCCAGAGCCCGCGCUCAGGGGCCUCCUCAGGGUCACUCCGAGACAUUCGGCAGCACCCUGGGCUGGGCGCCGUGUCCUCGGCCUCCCCAGCGAUGAGGCUCACGGCAGCCGCUCACCCCACGGGGCGGCUGCACCAGGCUGCCCAUCCACAAACACAGCCAGAAGCUGCCUGCCUGGACCACACAUCGUUGCCAGGAUGGGAGUGCGUCUAAGGAAGGCCCUUGGUCACCCUCUCCUCGCCCCCCGUCCUAGAGGCUGGCUGGCUCUGCCUGGAGAGUCCUUAGGGACACCCUGGUCCUGUCCACCAGCCAAGGAGUCCAAGUGGAGGCCGGGAGACGGGACCUCGAGGCCCUCUCAUGAAGAUUUCCUUCUGGGGCCUCAAGGAAAGACAGGGUUGCCAGUGAGCACAGGCCAGCCAGGUCUUGGGGGGCAGGCUGCGUUGGGGUGUUGCUGGCCCAACUCCCAGGUGACUGCACCUCAGUGUCCCGCGCUAGGUGUGGGCCCUGGUGCCCUCACCACUAGUGGAGGGUUCUGGGACCAUUUCGUGCCCCUCGGGGUUCAGGGAGCAGCAGCUGCCCUGUUUACUGGGACUGGGCACGAGGCCCCCUCUGCAGUAGUGGGCGAGGCCACGCCGGGGAGAGCCCGAGGGCAAGCCCUGCCCCCUGCCUGGGACCCAUCCGAGCCUCAGCUUCCUCGCUACGAAAUGGCAUCGGUGAUCCUGGCUUCACCAGGCCUGUGAAGACCAAAUGGCACAGACCAGCCUUUCCUGGGAGCCAGGUUCCCUUUUGGAAAGUAAGAAUAUUCUGUAGCCUCUCCUGAGAUGGGAAAAGCCCAGGUCACCCUGGAUGGUGGGACCAGACCAACCAGAGCCCACGGGGAGGGAGUCCACACCUGUCCAGUGGGUGGAGGUGUGUCCUGGGGCAGCAGGGAGCCAGGGGUGGGCGGUGCCGUCAGAGGUGGGGGCCAGGUGGGCAUGCGUAGCCCCUUUUGGACAUGGGUUGGCCUCUAACAGAUGACAGCCUGCCUCCCAGUGUCACUGGUGCAGGAGAAGUCCCUUGGGGACACCAUGGUCACUCCUAUCCACUCCUAUCCAGAUGGGAGUGAUCCCAUCACCUGUAGCGCUUUUCCAAAAGCCACAUCGCACGUUUCCCUCCCUCCCUCUCUUCCCUCUUUCCUUCUCCCUCCCUGGUUGGUGGUUGUCUCCUGUGGGGCUGCUCCCAGGGUAUGCGGGCCCUCUACUGACCCGCCUGCCAGUCCCCGUGCCCUCAGCGCCCCAGCACAACCCUGACCCCCAUCCCCCUUAUGCUCCCCUCCUUCCCCCUCCAGGAGAUGCCUCUGGGAGCCACGAUGUCCCUCCAGGUGCCGAGACUGACGGCCCUUUGGGGUGAGGUAGUAGGUUGUAUAGUUUGGGGCUCUGCCCUGCUAUGGGAUAACUAUACAAUCUACUGUCUUUCCUGAAGUGGCUGUAAUAUCGACAGUGGACAGCAUCCAGGACCCUGGCUGCUGGAUGGGGGUGCGGUGGGCAGGGUGGGGGGUGGGGACGCAGCCUCAGCAGGGUGGGUGCAGUGGCUGCCGGGUGGUAAGUCUGACAGGCCUAGGUUCCACUUGCUGUGUGACCUGGGGCGGGUCCCUUGACCUCUCUGGGCUUCAGUUUCCUUAUCUGUGAAAGGGGGCAGAUGAGGGUUGAGCGCAGUACCGUGUGAAGUGUCCAAGGAGGGCAGGGCUCAGAGUCGACCUUUCCCUCUCCCCACGCUGCGCUGAGAGCUGAUGGACCCGACGAGCAGUUUGGGCAGCCCACCCCUCCCCCGUCCACAUCCCCGUGCCCCACAUCAGGCUCUUGGGCAGCCCCCAGCCUGGACUUUGCCCUCAGAUGCAUCCCUGUGGCCGGCACUGGGCACCGGGAUGAGUAGCCUUGGGCCCGAGGAGGACCAGGCCAGCUGAGGCUUGGCUGGCGUUGCAGCACAGCACCCCAGGGCAGUCCACGGGGUCGGCCUCGAUCAGCACGUCCCCCGAGUCCACAGCCUGCCCAGCUCAGCGUCAGGCCUCUGGUCAGCGGAGGGACAGAGGCCAGGGCUCCCCUCUCCCAGGCAGGGAGUGAGAGGAAUGUCCUCGAGCCCACGGCAGCCCUCGUGGGCACGAGCCCGUUCCACCCCCAGCAAGCGCAGGUGGACUGGCCAGCGUGGGGACCAAGCCGCCGUCUGCACGUCCCUCCUCCCCUGCGCCUGCCCAGCCCUCCAGCUCGGCUCUGGUGGCUGCAGACCACCAGGAGGGGCUGGGGCUGGGCCGGGGGCAGCGGCAGGACGGCGGACCCUCCCAAACCCGGGCACCGGCGGGGUGAGGUAGUAGGUUGUGUGGUUUCAGGGCAGUGAUGUUGCCCCCUCGGAAGAUAACUAUACAACCUACUGCCUUCCCUGAGGGGCCCAGCGUCGUCCCACGGGAGGGCCGCCCCCGCGCUCUGCAGGGGACUCGGCAGAUGACUUGGGGGCCUGAGCCCAGGCCAGGCGGGUGGGAGGCCGCCCUGUGCACACUCAGAUCUCAAUAAAAGUUGCUGUCAUGGGAAUCUGGAGUCUGCCCCUGUUUGUUCUGGGAGCCCAGGGGCGGGGCGUCUGCCGCCUGCCGUGGGCGGUGUGGGCGUGGCCUGAUGGGGGAGCUGCCUCUGGGCCACUGGGGGUCACCGGACCCUAGUCUGCCGCCCCCACAGCCUUCGGGUCUUCCUGAUGGAUUCAGUCCUGGACCCCGGACCCCUGCGCAGCCUGCACCCCACUCACAGCCGCUUUGAGCACAGCUGUGGGACCCAGGCCCCAGAGGCGUCACUCGGCCCGCACAGGCCCCCUUGCAGGUGGCGCGGACCCAGUCAGCAGCUCAGAACACAGUCCAGGGCCCGGUCCCCGAGGCCACCCCAGAGCCAGUGCUUGACUGGGGCCCGGAAGUUCCCGUCUGCCACGCCCAGCCCCCUUAGGCCAGUGUCCGGGGUAGCCCUUAUGUCGGGUGUCCAUUCUGGGCUGACUGCCAUCCCAAGUGUUCACUCACGUUUCUGUCGGGGGUCUUAGGCUCUCGUGCCGCUGGCUGCUGAAGCCUGUCCCCACAGUCACAGCCUGGGUGUCAGAAGAGACCCGUCCGUGUCUGACCCAGCGCCCAGAGCACCCUCCGGGGGAGGUGCUCCCACGGCUGCGUCCGAUCCCCGUCCCUGUGCCCACAGAGCGCAAUGAGGUGCCAUCUGCCCCAGCUGGAGCAGCCCCCCGUCACCCCACAAGCCGCUGCAGAAGAGAACUCCAGGCUGGCUCUUGCCAACGACCCGGGGUACACAGAACGGGACACCACUGCAGCCUCCAAGUGCCCAGCGCCUGAGGGGACAGACAGGGCUCGGACAGGUCCAGGUCCCAGGCAGUGGUCUGGGACGGGGACCUGUGACAGAGGCCAGAGGAGGCUCCUGAUCCAGCCAGGGUCCCGGAGGGAGGAGAGGUGGGCUGAGCUGGGCACCUCUCAGCCCUGAGUGCAGCAGCCUGAAGCUUUGGAGGGACCAUCCUCCCCUCCCACCAUGAUGACUGUCCCCAAGCCACUAUCUCUGCCCAAGCCCCCACCCAUCCCAAGC